UUUAAUGAACCAAAGAGAGCGCAUGUUACACCACUCCUCAUCUCUCUCCACUAGCUGCCGGUUGACGUAUCAAAUUCAAGGCUCUGAUGCUGGCAUACAGAACAGUCACUGGGUCUGCUCCAGCAUACCUAAAAUCAUUUAUGCAGAGCUACGCGCCCACUAGAAGCCUGCGGUCGGCAAAGGAACGUUGCCUUGUUGUACCAACACAAAGAGGCACACAAAACACAAAACAAAAUCUAUUUUUAUGUUUCAAGAAAAAACCCAGCAUAUGGGUUUUGAACAACAUAUGGGUGAGUAAAUGAGUGAGUAAAAGUACAUUUUCCAUUUUUAGGUGAACUACUUUAACUGGUGGCUCAUUUUUUGAGCACAAACUUGAUGAGACAUACUCAAAAUAAAAUGGUCUCUUUUAAAAGGAGACUUUUAAGAUAUGCUGUACAAAUUUCAGAAUUAAUUAAAGACAUAAAGAAGUUAUUUAGAAAAUCUUAAAUUGAUUUUAAAUUAUUAACUAAUAAUAUUUGCAUUAAGAAUAUAUGACACUGUCCUUGCCAAAACCUAAAAGCACAAUAGAAGUCACAAGUCACAGGUCUUACCAUGUUCUAGUUCUGAGCUGGGUGAAAACGCUCUACUCUGUGUGGCAUUUUGCACCACCUCUGUAGAGCCCAUAUACAAGUCUACACAUACAGUAAUAUCACCCCCAUGAAACGCUGUAUUUGCUCGUGUGCGCGCGCCAGAGAGCACUAUCAUCGAUGGCCGUGAGAAAUGCAUAAUUAUGAUUAUAAUAUAAUGAUUUGGGAAUGUGCAUUGCCACGGAUUUUGCAUAACCGCGAUAGACAUGAUACUUGAUACAUUUCUCGCGGUUGACAUUUCUAUUACACACUGACACAGAGCCAUGCAGCUGCUUGUUGGUCUCGUUCUAAAGCAUCAAAAAGACACAAAUAAUGACUGGCCAGACCUGUGGACAGCCAAACAAAAAGGUUUUAAAUCCAAGAACCCCUGGUUAGAAUACAAAAAAAUUGGGAUGUCUGGCCUGUAGCAGUGUGAACUCCAUUGGAAUCAUCAAGGAGCAAUGUGUAUCUCUCUCUCAAAGAAUGGAUGAACUUGAAAUUCAAGCAUCUGGCCAGGGAAGUAGAGAGACAAGUCUGUCAGUCUUGAGAAAUAAGAUGAGGAACAUGCUUUGUCUAAGGCCAACAAUCAAGUUGUGAAGAUGGCAGAACAACAGAAAGAAGCAGUCAUUGGUCGUUUUUUUGAAGACAGAGAGUGAGUCAGCUUCACGGAUGGAGUUGGGAAGGUUGUUCCACCAACGUGGUAUGAUGAAGCUGAAAGUCCGGGAAAGUGUUUUGGUGCCUCUUUGUGUUGAUGCAACAAGGCGACGUUCCUUUGCCGACCGCAGGCUUCUAGUGGGCGCGUAGUCCUGCAUAAAUGAUUUUAGGUAUGCUGGAGCAGACCCAGUGACUGUUCUGUAUGCCAGCAUCAGAGCCUUGAAUUUGAUACGUGCAUCAACC